GAAGAGAAACCUAGUGGUGUUCUUAUUUUCUUUAAUCAGUGAUGAAUAGUAAGAUCUUCUAGCUUUACUGAUGGCUUUCUUAUUAAGCAGCACACUAUUUUUCCAGGCUACAUGAUGAUCUUCUAAAUUAGUGAUACGCCUUUUCCUCUCCAGCUUACAAGUUAUCUGCUUCAUGGUGCGCAUUUUAAAGUUAUACCAGGGAGUCAAGCACUUCUGAUUUGAGGCUCUUUUUCACAGGAGCUACAGUAUCCAGAGUCAUACGUUGUGAAGAGGUAACAUUAUUAACAAGAUAAUCGACCUCUAUUGGUGUAGCGUUCAGGUAGCUGCUCUGCUCUGUGUUGAUAUAGGUCAUUGAAGAAGAUAACAGUGGGUGGAUUAUAUUCUUAAAUUUAGUUACAGCUCUUUCAGAAAAACAUCUACUGUGAUGACAUCUGUUCCUCACUGCUGUGUAAUCCAUUACUGUAAAUGUAAAUGUUUUGGUGUUCACUGUUUGCCUGCUGUAUCAGGAAUAAAUGAAAAGAAGAUGAAUUACCUCAGCUUAUUUUUUGGCUCAGUAAUAUUGAUGAUCAGCUUUGAAUGCCUAAUAAGGUUUUGGAGGGUCAGAGGACAUUCACUGAUUUAUUGAAUUAUUUGUUGAUUCUUUGAUUUUAAACUGCAUCAAACACAUUGUCACAGUUUGGACAUUUAAAACGUCUCGCAGGAGCUGAGAGUCUUCGUCAGCACUGAAAACACAGGGCGUCAUAAGAGGAAUGAGAAAAAUGUCAAAUCCAGCCAUUAGGAGCAGAGUGUGGGCGGGGCUUUCAUCAGGAAACUGAAGGAAUGAAGUGGUUUCUGUUCAACCGGUCAAGGCGCACACGUCUGCUGAGUUUACUGACUUCUGUUAAACACAGUUUCCUGUUUGGUUUUUAAAAGUUUACCAGAAAUUAAAUGCACGACUUCCUGCAUGUGAUCACACAUAUUGAUCAUCUGGCACGCGCGCUCUCGCUCUCACACACAGACACACACACACAAGCCCGUUCAGCUAUCUUAGUGAGGACCUUCAUUGAAAUAAUCCUUUCCCUGGCCCCUAACCCUAAACAUUAAAAAUGACCCUAACGCCGUCAAAUUUGUGAAGACCGGUUUGUGCGCCCUCACAGUGACUGUUGGUUCUCCCAAGUACAAUAGAAUGCAGAUUUCGGUCCUCACAAAGACAGCUAGACAGGAACACACACACACACACACACACACACAGAAAACACAUGCACAGCAAAAAAUGACAUUAAAUGAAGUCAAAUUCAAAUAGAGACCAACUUAUAGUUUGCGUUUGGUGGGGGGGGCACCGAAACCACAGCGAGGAGGUGGUGUCGGGUUUGCAGUGACAGUGGUCGAGUUACAUAGAAAAUGAACAGAGGGAGAGAGAGGGCGUGUCGGCCGGUAGAACAGGUUUGGGCGAGGCGGUCAAGCGAGCUUCACACACAUAGUGAGCCAGAAUGAGAGAGAGCAGAGUCAGAUUUGUUUCCAUUUCAGAGAAGAAGAAGAACACGGCGGCGGCGACCGAGGAACAUACAGGUCUCUUCCUGCACUGCAUUAACUGAUUGGCCAGCUGCCUGAUUGGACAUAAUUUUAGCCUCACCGUCUUGUGACGUGUCAGCAUGUCCUCAAAUAUCAACGUCUCUCUGGAGAACCCCUACGGUCAGGUAACUAUUCCACGGGCUAAGCUCCACUCUUCCAGUGACUCCACAGUGAUAGCCAAUCCGAUGGUUAUUACCAGCAAUGAGAACCCGUACCAAGUGUCGAGCUCCGCCCCCCCACCAUACACGGUGAAGGAGGAUGGAGGGGGGGAUGAUGAAGGGGGGAGCUGCCGUGCCUGCUGCUACCGUUGCAGGAGAAAGAAGUGACAUCAUCGCUGCAGAGCGUGAUGUCAUAACAGUAGAAGGAUUGUGACUGGCUCAGAUUUAUUUAUUUGCUCUUCUAGAGGAAACAAGGAUGGAAGGAAAUGAGGAAACAAUGAAUGAAGGAGGGAAGGAAAUUUCAUGAACUGGAGGAUGUUUUCUCGCUGUGGCCAUUUUGUGUCUCAAAUACUUCACUUACAAGUUUGUGAAGCUCAAACCUCCACCCCUCACCACCAUCCCUACCCAGAACUGGGAUUUCAGAGGCCAUGGGGACUUGUGUGGUUACAAACACUUGAGGGGUCAUGGCGUCUUUGUGGUGCCCUGCGGACUUCGGGGAUCACAGGGACUUUUGGGACUCGGGGUCUUUAUGGGGUCCUGGGUUUUUUUUGCCCUUGAUGGUAUUUUUAUUUUUUUACUGGCAGUUUUAUAUCAAUACAUAUAAAAAAAUAUUGGGGAGAUGAUUUUUAGACACAAAAUGGCCACCACUGAACCGCAGUUUCACUUCUGUGCCUUUGUCAAGAAACCUAUAGUUUUGAUGUUUUUCCUGUAAACAACAUUAGGUAUGAUUUUAUAGUGUUACUGGAUAUAAUCAAUAUGUUGGAUUAUAACUGAUUAUAUCUAAUAUCAGACAGAGGAUUGUUCUCCAAUGUUCUACAUGGUUAUAUAGUGAUGUUUGAAUUUUGUAGACAUUCAGAAUUCAGCUGAAAAAUCUUUAAAAUGUUCAAUUCAAUGAUUGAAACUUUAUUGAUUAUUACAAAAGUUCUUGAUCAUCACGAACUCCAAAUGAACUGAUCUAAAAAUAUUUUUUAUCAGGUUGUAAAAAAGCAGCUGUAAAUUAUACUGUUUGUUUUUCUUGAUGAUGAUGAACAUUUGUGUUUGUGUUUUUUUGUUGUUAUUUGUUGUUUUAUAUUUGACACAUAAUUGGCAUUAUUCUUGUUUUUUUUCUGUUUUCAUCACAGUGACUAUGCAAAUCAAAUGAAGCAAUCAGAGCACAGGUCAUCAUGUGGAAUAAAAUUUUAAAUUUAAAACUUCAUCUCUGUGGCUGCUCGCACAACAUUAAAGUCUCAGUAACAGCGAGCCAAACAUUUCUCUGCUUUUUAGAAUCAAUCAUUAAAGAUUUUAUGAUAAUCAUCAUUAAUUAUUGUUAAAAUAUAAAGUCACCAUUUAAUUAUUUUACUGUUAACAAUGAAACAAUUAUUGAUGAUGUAGUUGAUCAUAUAUUGUGAUCGGAGCUGAUAGGAGGCAGAACCCUGCCCAAUUUGGAUCUGCGACCUUUGAUUUGAUCCACAAGCAUAAACUAAGAUGUAUAACUCUGUACAAUGGCUUAUGUCACAAAUGUGUGCACCAAAACAUAAACACAAAUAAAAAAAAUUAUUUGAAGAUGUAAA